rnacentral:rRNA from 1 species
AUGGAUCCGGGCUCCGGUGCAGGGAAGAACCGUUGGAUCAUCCACCUCCAGGGAGGCUCAUGGUGCGAGAGCGUGGGGUCGUGCCUGUACCGCAAGGCGAGCAGCCUCGGCUCGUCGAAUCUAAUGAACAAGCAGAUCUACUUCGGCGGCAUCUUGAGCUCCAGCUCCUUCGACAACCCUGAUUUCUACAGCUGGAAUCGGGUGGUGAUCCGCUACUGCGACGGCGCGUCUUUCGCCGGCGAAGGCUAUGACGCGGGCUCGGGUCUCUUUUUCCGGGGCCAGCGCAUAUGGAACGCCGCCAUCCAGCACCUCCUCUCCAUGGGGAUGUCCUCCGCGGAUCAGGUGCUGCUGACAGGAAGCUCGGCCGGGGCCCUGGCGGUGGUGCUGCACUGCGACCAGUUCGGCGCCGUCUUCGCCGGCCGGGGCACCACUGUCAAGUGCCUCGCCGACGCAGGAUUCUUCCUCGACGCCGUCAACGUCGCUGGGUGGCAUACCUUGAGAUACUACUUCGGAGGCGUCGUAGCCACGCAUGGGGUGGCUCAGAACCUGCCCAGGAGUUGCACCAGUCAUCUCGACGCCACCUCGUGCUUCUUCCCGCAGAAUGUAAUCGGCGGCAUAAAUACCCCAAUCUUCGUGCUGAAUGCAGCCUACGAUACCUGGCAGAUUCGGGAAAGCCUGGCCCCGGACGGAGCCGACCCCGGCCGCAUCUGGGACCAGAUGGUGGGCACCGUGCUAGGCGUCUCCCGUUCGAGGAGCAACGGGUUCUUCAUAAACUCGUGCUUCACUCACGACCAGUCCGAGUACCCGGCUACUUGGAAUGCAUAUGGCUCUACUUCUAUUCAAAACAAGGCUGCUUCAGAGAAGUUCAAGGGCAAGGAGGUGGUUGUGGCCGACAAGAAGGGCAAGGCAAGCGAGGUGGUUCCAACCGAUAAGAAGGGCAAGGCAGUGGUGGAGCUCCACAGUGUCCCCAAGCGGCCGAAGACCUAUGAGCAUUUCCGUGAGGAUGCCAGACCAACCCACUUCUCCAAGUUCAUCCUUGCACCGAAGCUGGAGUGCCUGCCGAUGCCACUGGAGUUCACCAAGCACUUCGCCAUCGUCCCGGAGGAAUUCAAGCUGAAGACGAACAUCGGCUGCACCUAG